GUAUGAACGCUAGCUACAGGCUUAACACGUGCAAGUCGAGGGGCAUCAGGAAGAAAGCUUGCUUUCUUUGCUGGCGACCGGCGCACGGGUGAGUAACACGUAUCCAACCUGCCCUUUACUCGGGGAUAGCCUUUCGAAAGAAAGAUUAAUACCCGAUGGCAUAAUGAUUCCGCAUGGUUUCAUUAUUAAAGGAUUCCGGUAAAGGAUGGGGAUGCGUUCCAUUAGGUUGUUGGUGAGGUAACGGCUCACCAAGCCUUCGAUGGAUAGGGGUUCUGAGAGGAAGGUCCCCCACAUUGGAACUGAGACACGGUCCAAACUCCUACGGGAGGCAGCAGUGAGGAAUAUUGGUCAAUGGGCGCUAGCCUGAACCAGCCAAGUAGCGUGAAGGAUGAAGGCUCUAUGGGUCGUAAACUUCUUUUAUAUAAGAAUAAAGUGCAGUAUGUAUACUGUUUUGUAUGUAUUAUAUGAAUAAGGAUCGGCUAACUCCGUGCCAGCAGCCGCGGUAAUACGGAGGAUCCGAGCGUUAUCCGGAUUUAUUGGGUUUAAAGGGAGCGUAGGUGGACUGGUAAGUCAGUUGUGAAAGUUUGCGGCUCAACCGUAAAAUUGCAGUUGAUACUGUCAGUCUUGAGUACAGUAGAGGUGGGCGGAAUUCGUGGUGUAGCGGUGAAAUGCUUAGAUAUCACGAAGAACUCCGAUUGCGAAGGCAGCUCACUGGACUGCAACUGACACUGAUGCUCGAAAGUGUGGGUAUCAAACAGGAUUAGAUACCCUGGUAGUCCACACAGUAAACGAUGAAUACUCGCUGUUUGCGAUAUACAGUAAGCGGCCAAGCGAAAGCAUUAAGUAUUCCACCUGGGGAGUACGCCGGCAACGGUGAAACUCAAAGGAAUUGACGGGGGCCCGCGCAAGCGGAGGAACAUGUGGUUUAAUUCGAUGAUACGCGAGGAACCUUACCCGGGCUUAAAUUGCAGUGGAAUGAUGUGGAAACAUGUCAGUGAGCAAUCACCGCUGUGAAGGUGCUGCAUGGUUGUCGUCAGCUCGUGCCGUGAGGUGUCGGCUUAAGUGCCAUAACGAGCGCAACCCUUAUCUUUAGUUACUAACAGGUUAUGCUGAGGACUCUAGAGAGACUGCCGUCGUAAGAUGUGAGGAAGGUGGGGAUGACGUCAAAUCAGCACGGCCCUUACGUCCGGGGCUACACACGUGUUACAAUGGGGGGUACAGAAGGCAGCUAGCGGGUGACCGUAUGCUAAUCCCAAAAGCCUCUCUCAGUUCGGAUCGAAGUCUGCAACCCGACUUCGUGAAGCUGGAUUCGCUAGUAAUCGCGCAUCAGCCACGGCGCGGUGAAUACGUUCCCGGGCCUUGUACACACCGCCCGUCAAGCCAUGGGAGCCGGGGGUACCUGAAGUACGUAACCGCAAGGAUCGUCCUAGGGUAAAACUGG
rnacentral:rRNA from 1 species